rnacentral:sRNA from 1 species
CGGCCAUGAUCGUCGGCGCGAUGAAGUGGACGUGGCAGUCGAUGCCGCCCGCGGUGAGGAUCCUGCCGUUGCCCGCGAUGACCUCGGUGGAGGGCCCGAUGACCAGGUCGGGGUGCACCCCGUCCAUGGUGUCGGGAUUCCCCGCCUUGCCCAGCGCCACGAUGCGGCCGUCGCGGAUGCCGACGUCGGCCUUGACCACACCCCAGUGAUCGAGGACGACGGCCCCGGUGAUGACGGUGUCGGGGGCGCCCUCGGCGCGGGUGGCCCGGCCCUGACCCAUCGAUUCG